CGUUUUCGCUCGGAUGGCACCACUACCACAUUGCAAGGAGCAGACAUGCAUAAUCCAGUGGACAAGUGCUUUGAGUGGUUGAGUGUAAAGCACUGUGUGGUACAAGUGUUGUGGGCUCUGGAUUGGCUUCGAGAACUUGAUGGUAAAACAUUCUGGUCAAGGUGAAGCUGCAUCGGAGACUGUCGAAUUUUGCUUACGGUAUAUGGAUGCGGAAACCAGAAACUUGUUUGUGAUAACUUAGCUUUAUAUCUGACCAAGUGUCAGGUGUUCCCUAGAGCUCUGGAAGAUUUUGACUUGGCACUACAUGAAUCACCAAGCAAUGGGUCAGCAUCUAUUGAAGCCAUGAGGAGCAAAAUCAUUGACAUCAUUGAAGCUUUGGACAAUAUCUUGCAAAUUGUGCCAUUAAAGCUGAUGCCGAAAGGAAGGAUGCUCGGAGAUGCCAGGGACCAAAAAAGAGGAAAAACAAUAUAUGAAACUUGUGAGAAACUGAGCUGUGAAGGAGCUGUGGUCUUGGGUUGUCGCUGGUUCCUGUCUCUCAUUUGCUGGUUACUCAUAUCGAUAGUGUUCUUAUGUAACCUCCCGUGGGAAAUCUUCAUUGGAGUUGUUAUCUUAAUCCCAUCAUACUUAUAUGGGAUCUUUGUAGUUUGUAGAUAACGGUGCAUGAUCCGAUCAGUACCCUCGGUAGGGUUGCUAAUGUGGCUGGAAGUCUCAGAUCGGGGAUCACACAAGGGUUUUACCUAGGUUAGGAGUAAUACCCUAUGUCCUGCUUGUUACUAUUAUUUAUGGUGGGUGUACCUUGUGUGAGGGAUUGCAAUGAAGAUUAUGGUAUGCUA